UCUAGGGUGUAAUUAGAAGACUGCAAAUAUGAGGAAGGAAAACAUCAGGUGUUCUCCACAAAAAGGAAAACUCCCAAACCAACGCAAACAGAAGGAACUGGGGAAGAAAGAGAAACAUGCUCUGCAAAUGCUACACCAUGGAGGCUACAGUUGAUACGUAUAACAAAUCACCCCGCGUUUAUCAUUAUGGUACGAAAAAUCACAAGCUCUACGUUUCAGAAGAGAAAGCUGAAAUACAAGAAUCUGCUACACAAGGGGAAAGAUAGCUACCACACUACAUAAAAUUAAGACAAUAACCACCCUCAACCAAUUCCUACAUGGCAUUUGGAGUUGGGGGCAUGCUAACAUACCAGGAUCUGCUCACGUGGACCAGCAACGACGGCUGGGUCUGUCCUGAUGUACACAGACAGGAGUGAAAAAGAGCAAAAAGUGUGCAUAAGGAAAGAUUUGCACGGUGUAAAUAGUAAAGGCUUCUGCUGAAAUACCAAACUAUUUAUCUGCAACACUAAACAAGUGGCACCACAGUGAUGUCUGAAAUGUCUGAUGUCCCAAUGUCUGAAAGUAAGCUAACGAACUGGGAUGCCCCGUGGAAAUAGAAUGGAGGAAAGGAAAAGAAAUAAGAACAACCUCAGCUGAAAUGGCCUUCGAUAUCAAGAAGUAAUCAAUCCCUUGAGAAGUGCUGCAGUACUGGUGCCAGUCUAGGCCCUGACAAACCAAGCAGCCCUGAUGCGAUCACUGCUUCACUCGUUUGGGUCACCUGCACCCCAAACUACCUCGAGAAGAGCGAGGGACUAAAUUCAUGACUUCAACCUGCCAGUUGUGAGCAUCAACCACAUAUUAGUUCAAAACUAAUCCACCAUCCAAAAGAUCUACUUGUCACUAACUUCUUACUGUUACACUCCACAGUAUUAUAAAACUGUCCCAAGUAAAAUGGACAUUGGAUCCAAAUCACCUAAACAUCACUAAUGAAAUCGUGAGGAAAUGCAUAGAAUGAAUGCAGACACUAUAUGGAAUUCCAAUCACACUUCCCUAUUUUUCUUUCAAGUUUUUCAGGGAGCAAUAUGUAUUAAAUAGAGUUUUCAUGUGAACUUUUAA